UAAUUCCCGAAGGACUCGACACCAGCGCCAGGUGCUUGAAGCGGUCUUUUGUCAUUGAAAGGGUCGACUGGCCCAGCAUCAUGCAGCCGAUCUUUCGUAACUGCGGCAUUAAGACGACCGACCCAUUGCCAGUCGUUCGGCCACACACCCGGUGUUAGAGAUAGAUGAAUGUGUUCUUAUAUUUAUCGUUCAUCGUAUGCAUGCCUUUGAAAUCAUUGAUGAAGCAAUUAAAUUCAAAUAUUUCCAGUUGGUCGAA